rnacentral:rRNA from 1 species
AAUCAACGCUGGCGGCGUGCCUAACACAUGCAAGUCGAACGCGAAAGUUCCUUCGGGGAUGAGUAGAGUGGCGUCCGGGUGAGUAACGCGUGGGUAAUCUGCCUUUGGGUGGGGGAUAACUCAGGGAAACUUGGGCUAAUACCGCAUAAUGCAGCGGCUCGACAUCGAGACAGUUGUUAAAGCAGCAAUGCGCCUGAAGAGGAGCCUGCGUCUGAUUAGCAGUUGGUAAGGUAAUGGCUUACCAAGGCUACGAUCAGUAGCUGGUCUGAGAGGACGGCCAGCCACACUGGCACUGACACACGGGCCAGACUCCUACGGGAGGCAGCAGUGGGGAAUUUUGGGCAAUGGGCGAAAGCCUGACCCAGCAACGCCGCGUGAGGGAGGAAAUCCUUCGGGAUGUAAACCUCACAAGCAAGGGAAGAGAGCGUGCGGGCUGAAUAAUCCCGUAGUGCGACGGUACCUUGCGUAAGCCACGGCUAACUACGUGCCAG